CCAGUUAAUACCGCUACGCCCAUUCCUCCUUACUAGACCGCCCUCACAGUAACGCCCCUUUGGCUGUUCAAGUUUCUCAAGUCAGUGACAUGCUGCCGAAUGACAACACAAGCGCCGCACAGGACUUUUUAAAACGACUGAAUGGAUUUCGCUGCAGCGAUCACUCAACUGUCGAUUGGGAAGUAAAUAAAUGCUACUGGAUCGAGACCCCUCAUCUCUCCUGCCUCUUCAAUCAUCCAAAGACUGUUAAGUUUGUUAUUUUAAUGUAAUGGUCGGUUCAUGUCCGUUACAUUGACUUGACUUGUCAUUGGGUCUGAUUUUAAAUGUGCCAUAUAGUUCAAUGUGGGAGCAGGUUCACACACUAAAUAAGACACUAAGGUCAAGCACAAUCAGAUUUUUUUUUAAACAAUUCUCAGAGCAGAGUAGAGCAGACGUUUCAGGUUACUGCCAUCAGAGAGUAGUGACUUGACCUUAGUGUCUUAAGUGUGCUCCCACAUUGAACUCUACUUUUUGGGUCCAUGCACCUACUUAUUUCUAAACAUCUAAGCGCAAUUAUACCCCUGCCUCCUGAUGUGCCAUAUAACCUGUAUCUCUCCAAUUGUGUGUGUGUGUGUGUGAGAGAGAGAGAGAAUGUGUGCACGCAGAUAUAAGAAGUUGGGGUUGAUGAUCCACAUGAUGGUGAUGGACCAGGACAGCUCUGGACCUCCUGACUGGCAGCUCCAUCCUCAACCUCUUCCUGCCCUUCACACAUGUGCAGGCAGAGAGGCAGUUUUCUGAAGGAUGGUUGAUGUCAGUACCAACAUGUUGUGAUGGAGGCUUCCACCUGAGCUGAACACAGAAAACUUGCACACAGUGAUGGAAGCAGUCGUUCCUGUUCAGCAUUGAUAUGCCGGUAAUGGGUUUGAUGAGCCACAGCAUGGUGAUGGGCAAUCAGCAUCAGGACCAGGGCCGCUCACAAGAAGAACCUCUUCAUCCUCAAGGAGAACCUCUUCAUCCUCAACCACCAAUCUUCCUGCUCUUCACACAUGUGCAGGCACGGAGCCAGCUUUCAGAGGGAGGGCUGAUGACACCAGCAACUUCGGAUCUGAACCUGAUCAACCCAGCACCAACCACUGUGCCGCUCCUC